AUUGCAUUACAGUAUACAUUGCACAUUAGUGAAAUAGUUUGGGUUUAAAUUAAGCAUUAAUGAAUCCCUUUUGUCCUGAACAGGAAAUUCCCAAAGGCUAGCACAGCAGCGUCUGUGCUUCUGUACAGCUUGUGGGACGAGAAGGACAUCCAGAUCCUCCUGAAGAAGCAAGGAAUGAACAAGACCACAUUUGUGAAUGAAGACACAACGGCUGCCCACAAAUCAAUGCAGGUUGUUGAAUGAUGGCAGACAAGAUGGAUGGUAGGUUUUGUUCUUUCAAACCUUCUGCUGAAAUGUAAAGAAGUCACACCAGAAGAAGUGGAACUCAUUGUAACUGGAUGCACCAUUAAGAGAUUCAAUCUUGGUACUUUCUGUAACCGGCGUUAUAUCGUCCUGUUGAACAAUGUUGUUGUAUUUUUUCUGGGGAAUUGCCUUACUUUAGGCAGUCUAAUUCUCAGUAGUAUCAAUGGGGCUGAUAGUAGAGAUCUACAUUGAAUGAGCUCUGAAGAGAAAAAUCACUGGAUGCUGUCUGAACAUUUAUGGACUCCUCUGUGCAGGUGGAGACUUGUGUGCUUGUGAACUUCGCACACCCUUGAAAAGGAUUCCAUCUUGUCUAUUUUGGGAUGAUUGCCCCCCUGUAAUUAAGAAGAUUCUGUCACCGUCACCAUUUCGUUAUUGUUACUUACAUUUGCUACAAUCCAACCGUUAAUGUCAUCAUGGACACACACUUCUACAUGGAUAUAUGGAAAGACAUAUUAAGCCUGUACUACAAACAGAUGAAAACAAAGAGAUGAGAAAAGAGUAAAGCAAACAUUCCACUGUACAUACUGUUAGGCCAUAUAUACAUUUGUCAGACUUUCAGGAUGAGUCUGGGAAAGCUUCCUCUCAUGAUCAAAUCUAGGGAGGCUGUUAACAGUAUUAGCAUUUCUUGCAAACUUAACAGACAAGUAAUUCAUCCCUUACCUUAAUCGUGCAAUCCACAUGAAUGAUACUUGGCAGGCAUGAUGUUUUUUGACGGUUUACGGUUUAUUGACGGUUGUUUUAUCAGGGCAUCUAUCUUCACGCUAGCUAUCAGAAUGCAACGCCUCAGAGCUUAAAUAUAAAAAAACGAUGUCUUGCAGCUGUUUUAGCUUGGUUGUGGCGCUUACACAGAAAAUACAGCAUCAUUUUCUUUCAUUUAAUAGCUCAUUGUAUUGGUUCAUAAACCGGCAUUUAUUGAUGCUGCAAUACUUGUUUUUCAUAAAUCUAGCAGAUCAUAUUCACAACUUCUUUUUUUCCUGAUGGAUAAACAUGAAUUGCUAUUACACACCGAAUUGUGUUUGGUGUGCCAAUUCAUCCACUUUUUUGGAACAUUUUACAGUUUACUAUUUACCUUUAUGCCAAAGUUUGAUUGUAAUGCACUAUUAUGUAGUCCCUGUAUUUGACGAAGACCUAUCCAAGAUCUCUUUUUUUUUUUUUACUUAAAUAACUUAAAGAUGCAAAUUGUAUAUCCAUCUGAAUUCUGGCAACAUUGUUAGAUAUUGCUCCAAGAAUUGGUCAGGAUUAGUUUGGGAAUUAAUUUGUCACUGUUAGCAUUAUAGCAAUCCACAUAGAGAUUAUACAUGAUGUUCGCAGAGACUUUAACCUUGUGUUGUUUCCAACAAAUGCUUUUUUUCAUAAAAGGUCAUAGAUCAUUGUUUUAAAUACAAAGAACAAAUAAAAAGUUGAAAUGAUUUCAGUUCACUUUUCUCUUUUUUAUAGUGGAUAGGAUAAAAAGUGUUUAUCUAUUUACUACGCACACAUGUACAACCUUGGGGAUUGGGGAACACGCUACCAGGGAAGAUGAAGUGUUGAUGAAUACAUAUAUUACAAUACAAUAAUAUUAUCCACAGCCUAUGUUACCUGCGUUGUGUAAACAGCACAGUUCCACAUCAAACUCAAACUCACAACCUCGGGCAUGGGAAGUGGGUGUGCUAGCAAGGAUGCUUAAACCCAAUGGUGCUAGCAUCUGUCCCUAACACCUCUCUUAAAGUGUCAGGGAGUGCACAGAACUGUACCCACUGGCUACCAUUACACCUACUCACUACAUCACUUUUGUUUACAUAGGAAGGUUAUUGAGGCUGUUUUACUAGCAUAACUUCAACCCCAGGAGGACACAUAGUAUGUGUUCAAGCUUUAUGGUCUGGCUUUUUGAUGAACUUUGACUACAAUAGGCCCAUAGGCCCUAUACAGUUUUCUUGACAUUCUUCCCACAUAUUUUUCUUGUACAGUAUCUCUUAAGCCUUAAGGUAUAUGACAUGUGGACUUGCAGAGCUUGUCAUAAAGUAAGCUGUAAAGAGCUGCAUUCUGCUUUAUCUGUCUUCUGAAAGAAUGAAUGACAGUAACUGAAAGUUAGAAGGUAAGAUUUGUGCAACGUACAUAUGGAGAUAGAUCUGGAGUCUGAAUAGCUUUAGAUACAGCUGGUUUUAACUAGAUCUAUCUAAUCUAAUAGAUUUAUCUGAGCAUGACUAUUUGUACUCUCAAACUGAGUGAGUAGUGUCCAUUUUCUCUUCUAGUGUCAAACAUCAUGAAGAAACACAACUAAUUCUUGGAAAAGUAGGCUUGGUGGUUUAAUUCCUUAGCUACCAAAACAACUUCAGGAAUCUGCAUGAGUAACAUGUGAAAUUGGGUAGUGUCUCCUUCAGGUAAUAUGGGUGUGUCCAAAGACAGUAUUAUGGGAACUCGUCUGAGCAUGUUGCCAUCAGUCCAGAGAGCUCAGUGCCCCAAAGCACUUCUGUCUACGCAUUUCAGCGCAUCUCCAAGGGAUUUCUCACCCUCACACAGACUACCAUUGUCACUGCCCUGGCCAUGGGGUUACUUGCAGUUUAAUCCAAACCGGUUCUGCACAGGAUCUUUGAUUUAUGAUAAAACCGCCACCGCUGUGGACUGGAUGCAUAUUUAUUUUCUCAACUCAUGCUGAGAUUUGAGUGCACUCCAAUUACAUAAUAGUAUGAGCAAAACUGGGAGUGGUAUAGAAAUGAUGCAUUUAUGGCUGGUGAAAGAAUUAUGAGAUUGUGUCGAGCUCUGUGUCUGAGGCUGGCCAUAUGCAGCAUAUUAGUACAAUCAUAUAAAUGCUGAAUCACAACAUUUACGAAAAUCUUGAAUCUUGAUUAAUAUGAUUUAUUUGUAUUUAUCAGUUUCUAAAACCUUUGUGAUCACAUCAUUCCUCUUCAUUUCAUAAACAUAGCAGAACACA